AGAGUUUGAUCCUGGCUCAGGAUGAACGCUAGCUACAGGCUUAACACAUGCAAGUCGAGGGGCAGCAUGGUCUUAGCUUGCUAAGGCCGAUGGCGACCGGCGCACGGGUGAGUAACGCGUAUCCAACCUGCCUUACACUCUUGGACAGCCUUCUGAAAGGGAGAUUAAUACAAGAUGUUAUCAUGAGUAAGCAUUUUCGCAUGAUUAAAGGUUUACCGGUGUGAGAUGGGGAUGCGUUCCAUUAGAUAGUAGGCGGGGUAACGGCCCACCUAGUCUUCGAUGGAUAGGGGUUCUGAGAGGAAGGUCCCCCACAUUGGAACUGAGACACGGUCCAAACUCCUACGGGAGGCAGCAGUGAGGAAUAUUGGUCAAUGGACGAGAGUCUGAACCAGCCAAGUAGCGUGAAGGAUGAAGGUUCUAUGGAUUGUAAACUUCUUUUAUACGGGAAUAAACGGAUCCACGCGUGGAUUUUUGCAUGUACCGUAUGAAUAAGGAUCGGCUAACUCCGUGCCAGCAGCCGCGGUAAUACGGAGGAUCCGAGCGUUAUCCGGAUUUAUUGGGUUUAAAGGGAGCGUAGAUGGGUUGUUAAGUCAGUUGUGAAAGUUUGCGGCUCAACCGUAAAAUUGCAAUUGAUACUGGCAGUCUUGAGUACAGUUGAGGUAGGCGGAAUUCGUGGUGUAGCGGUGAAAUGCUUAGAUAUCACGAAGAACUCCGAUUGCGAAGGCAGCUUACUAACCUGUAACUGACAUUGAUGCUCGAAAGUGUGGGUAUCAAACAGGAUUAGAUACCCUGGUAGUCCACACGGUAAACGAUGAAUACUCGCUGUAGGCGAUAUACAGUCUGCGGCCAAGCGAAAGCAUUAAGUAUUCCACCUGGGGAGUACGCCGGCAACGGUGAAACUCAAAGGAAUUGACGGGGGCCCGCACAAGCGGAGGAACAUGUGGUUUAAUUCGAUGAUACGCGAGGAACCUUACCCGGGCUUAAAUUGCAACCGAAUAUGGCGGAAACGCUAUAGCUAGCAAUAGCGGUUGUGAAGGUGCUGCAUGGUUGUCGUCAGCUCGUGCCGUGAGGUGUCGGCUUAAGUGCCAUAACGAGCGCAACCCUUGCCGAUAGUUACUAACAGGUUAUGCUGAGGACUCUGUCGGGACUGCCAUCGUAAGAUGUGAGGAAGGUGGGGAUGACGUCAAAUCAGCACGGCCCUUACGUCCGGGGCUACACACGUGUUACAAUGGGGGGUACAGAGGGCUGCUACCACGCAAGUGGAUGCCAAUCCCAAAAACCUCUCUCAGUUCGGAUUGAAGUCUGCAACCCGACUUCAUGAAGCUGGAUUCGCUAGUAAUCGCGCAUCAGCCACGGCGCGGUGAAUACGUUCCCGGGCCUUGUACACACCGCCCGUCAAGCCAUGGGAGCCGGGGGUACCUGAAGUGCGUAACCGCAAGGAGCGCCCUAGGGUAAAACUGGUGACUGGGGCUAAGUCGUAACAAGGUAGCC
rnacentral:rRNA from 1 species